GUCUUUGGUCCAAAUAUAGAUGGAAGGCAUGCAUUCCACAGGGACAAGCAAUCCACAGUAUAUAGUUCUUCAAGAGGCUUUACGUGCAUGGACUGGAGAUCUCCCUCGGUUGCUUAUCCUGCUUGGAGAUAAUCACCUAGCCUGCUCCCAGGCUUUGAUACGUCUUCUACAUCGUAUUGGACAGCGUGCUUGGAAUCCAGCACUUGUUUGCAUGUAUAACAACAUGCAGCAGUCAUUGCAAGAUUUUUAUUGUACAUAUCAAGAGGGAGGUAAACAUGAACAUGAUGUUGACAUCCGUAUUAAUAAUACAACACCUGUGACUUAUUUUUUGGCUUCUAAUUGUUUUGUUUUUUUCACGUUGCAGGACCGAUAUGUUUUGGUCCUUUUCUCAGGCUUCCUAGAGAAUCUCAAGUUCUCGCUUUAUGUUCCAUUUACUAUGUGUCUCAUUUGGACCUGCCUAUUUUAAAGUCAUUAGUCUAUUGUUGCCUAAGUGAUGAUCUAGACUCCUAUGUCUUAUUUUGGAUCAUAGACGUUCUCCAGUUAGCCUAUGAGCGGGGGUGUAUAGAAAUUGCGGAUUACUUGAGUUUUUUCAUCACC